rnacentral:rRNA from 1 species
UACGUAGGGUGCGAGCGUUGUCCGGAAUUAUUGGGCGUAAAGAGCUCGUAGGCGGUCUGUCGCGUCGGUCGUGAAAACUUGGGGCUUAACCCUGAGCUUGCGGUCGAUACGGGCAUGACUGGAGUUCGGCAGGGGAGACUGGAAUUCCCAGUGUAGCGGUGAAAUGCGUAGAUAUUGGGAAGAACACCUGAGGCGAAGGCGGGAUGCUGGGCCGACACUGACGCUGAGGCGCGAAAGCCAGGGGAGCGAACGGG